UACGGGGGGGGUAAGCGUUGUUCGGAAUUACUGGGCGUAAAGGGCUCGUAGGCGGCCAACUAAGUCGGACGUGAAAUCCCUCAGCUUAACUGGGGAACUGCGUCUGAUACUGGAUGGCUUGGAUUUGGGAGAGGGAUGCGGAAUUCCAGGUGUAGCGGUGAAAUGCGUAGAUAUCUGGAGGAACACCGGUGGCGAAGGCGGCAUCCUGGACCGACACUGACGCUGAGGCGCGAAAGCUAGGGUAGCAAACGGG
rnacentral:rRNA from 1 species